rnacentral:lncRNA from 10 species
UCCUGAGCAGUUUUUUAUUUUGAUUGAUAAACUUUUAAAAUGUGUUUGAAUUACAAUAUUUAUAUAUCAGGAAUAUGAAAGGUUUAAUCAUAAAAAUUACAUAAUAUUUCUUCCAACAUUUUCAUCUUGUCCAUUUCUUCAUAUCUAUAGUGGAGAAUUAUCCCUCUGUAGGCAAGAAGAAGUCUUUAUUCUCUUCGGAAGCUGCUCCUCUUGCACUCCAAAAUAUAGUUCUGAUGGAAGCUGCCAAUCACUUUAUCCCAUUCCCAGAACAGGCAUGGUACCAGACUGAGGUCAAUCCUAUACUCCACCUUAUUUGCCAUGGAAAAUAGCCUAGCGAUACUUGCAUGACUCAGGGCAGUUGGAGUAGUUUGAUGGAAUUUUUUAAACCACAGCUGACAGGAAGUAGCUCUGUUCCUUAUUAGUUGCAAAUGCUGCAAGCAUAUGACCCUAGAGUUAUCUGUUGCCAGUUGUUGCCUUGUGGAGAUCAUAGGCUUAAGAUGAUGAAGGCAGCAAUCAGCAAUAAGCAGAGGUGUGCUUGUGUGUGUGUGUGUGUGUGUGUGUGUGUGUGUGUCAGAAUGAGAGAGAGAGAAAAAUUACUGCUUCUGAAACCAAAUCCAUUUCCAAGGUGUGGUUUUAGAAGCAAAUAAAUUGCCAAUUUCAGAGCUGAUUCAAGUUGAAUUUUUGUCCUGUAACCAAAAGAGUCCUGACUAACAGCCAAAACUCAGGCUGUCAAGUAAACAUAAUCUGUAAGAAUCCGCUUUCCAGCCUCCAUUCCCCUUGACAUCUUCCUGAAAGAAGAUUUGUAUAGGAAAUGCUGACGUCUCUUUGGCAACUGCAUAAAAAUUAUUGUAUUCAACAAAUUUAUUAUAUGUCUCUUUGUGGCCAGGCAGCUUGCUUGGCACUGGAAAUUGGCUAGGGAGAUUGGGGCAAGAAAAAUACCUCUCUCCAUGGUGGAGGCAUACAUAAAAGCCGAUUGCUACACAACUGCGUAAGAAGUGCUUUAAUCAAAGCCUGAAUAAAGUGUUGUGGAAACUCAAAGGAGCAAGCAAAAUGCUUCACAUGAAAGUUGGACAUUCGAGUCAAAGACUCACAGGAUUUUCCCAAGCAGAAAAGAAAGGAGAGGACAUCAUGGACAGAGGAAAUAGCAUGGUGCAAAGGCAUGGUAUGAAAAAAAUACACGACAAAUUUGUGGAAUAACAGAACUUUUGAUGUGAUCACAGCAUAAUGUGGAGUUGGGUAACAGUGAGGGAUUAGGCUAACCAGCUUGGCAGAAUACUGACUAAAAAUUCUUAAAUGCUGUGCUAAGUUGUUAGAAUUUUAUCUUACAGGUUUUGAGAAGCCAUCUGCAGCUCACAACUAGAUGAGUGACACAAUCAGAUGUGCGUAUGCAAAAAAAAGCCUGGAGACAUUGAACUAAGAUCAAAUUUAAUGUAUUAAAUAUGGUAGAAAGAAGAGAGAAUGAAAAAUAAUGUUAACAAUCUAGGUGAGGAAUUGCUGAGGAGACAAAUUAAGUAGGUGUAGUCCUUCCUUAGCCUGCUUUUUAAUGAGUGCUGCUAAAGCCCUUAGCCUGCCUGUUUACCCUUGGAGUGGAGCAAUGAACUGAAGAUAUUUGAGUGAGUUCAAGAGAGACUCAGAAGAGAAGAAUUGGAGGCAGCAAACAUAGACAGCACUUUUAAUGCUUUUCUCAUAUGCUGUAAGACAUGAAAGCAAUCUAUUGGGAUGAAAGCUGAAAGGAGAAGCGGGACAAGAGAAGUGAAUCCGUGGAAGACCCCCAAAAGAGGCUGCAGAUUCUUAGUGGACAGCUCUCAUAUCCCCUCCAGGGAAAAUGAUGAAAAAUGUCUUCAGAAAAAUAGCUUUAUGAAGGCAAGAGGACUUUUUGCACCUGCAAGACAUGUCUGAAAGCUCCUCAGGUCAAAACACAAGUAGUCAAGAGAUUUGUCCAUCUAAUUCAUCAUACUACUCUGAUCCAAGUGAGACCCACACUGGGUCAGCUCCAUCAAGGAGAAGAACAUUCCACCCACGUUUGGAUUCUGGAAUAUCAUCCUUGCUUCCAUCAGAUUCUUGUAAGUACCUCACUUGGCACAAGGUAGACAUGACGUUCAAGGAAGUCAACUGCGUUGCCCAAGAGUAAGAGAAGGUAAAAGAAUAAAUGUGUGCCUUUUUCGUGUACAUCCUCUGAAUAGAAUUUUUUGUGGAUUAAAAGACAUUACUUGAAGAAAAAAAAAAGACACCAUUUGGAGGAAUCUCUGAAGAAGAGCAACUUUUCAGACAGGUAGAGUGUGCCUUGCUCCCAAGGAAAAGAGUUCUUGAAAAAAACAAAUGGGAAACAUGGCUACAAGAAAACUGGGAAGACUGCAAGAAAAUCUCAGAAUCUGCUUGAGAAUCCGGUCCUUCUUCCUCCAUACACCCAUGGAACACUCCCAAACUCUGUAUGCUGCUCACUAAUUCUGAUUAAGGUCUUCACCCUCCCUACCUUGGAAAUUGCUACAACAUAAUUGUGUUUAAUUUGAACAUUUCAUUUCAGGGUUUGGGGGAUCCUUACCAAGUUGAAAAUUUUAACAGAAUUCUUAGAAGACUAAUUCGAGUUGAAACCCUCUGGUUAGUGGAUAAUUCACUGGUGGACUUAAGUGCCAUAAGAUUGCCAAGGGAUUGCUAGAGAACCCCUUUUACAGGGAGCUGCUAUUUGCUUCAGCAGGCAGAAUGCGUAGGUGGAGUGAGCUUUGGUGGCAAUGAGAGGGGCCAACAGAGGUCCUCAGGAGUGAAUUAGAUGAAGGAAAUUGAGCAUCCACAAAAAGGAAAGAGUAUUCUCCUGUUUGCCAAACUUAAAAAUGCUGGAUGGAAUCUUGAAGCUACCAGAAGAUUGCUUAUCACCAGAAACCAAUAUUUUUUCAAAAAUAUGCCUUGUAUCCUAAUGCAGUCUGUAUAGAAAGAAAGCAAUCAUCAUUGUUGCUAAAAGCUAAUAAACACAGGACAUGCAUGAUUAAAUAUUGCAGUUUAUUUUAUAUCUUUUUGCUUUUCUAAAUCAAGGCAAAAACAUGCUAACUGACAAGAAAAUCAUGGGUUUUAUACAAGGAUAACAAGUGCUGGGUUGCUUAGCUAUGAGGAAGGCUAGGCUCACUGCAUACCAGAAGAUGUACAGCGUUGGAGAAUUCAGGGAUUUUUAUCAACAAUCAAACUAUAUUUGUGGAAAUUUUGUGCAUAAGUGCCAAAGAUGGCUGACAUCGGACCACAUUCUAUUUAACUCAACUGAAUGACACCAAGCUCUCAUCCUAAAACUUAUAGUUACAUCCACCCUUCUGAAAUAUUUAAUUAUUCUCCAAUACACUGGAGGUAAUAGGUAUAAAAAGAAUGAGCAUGUGCAACUUAGUAUCUCAUAUCUAAUUUUGUGUCCCAAGUUCAUUCUUCCCCUGAAUGUCCCAUGUCUACCAGGUGCAGGAUUAUCUGGAUGGGUCAGUUCAAAACAAUUUCAGGGAAUAAAUUGUGUAGGGGACUCAAUUUUCUGAGACAGAAACAUAAUGUGAAUAACUCCUUUGUUAGAAAAUAAUUUCAGUGACAGAAAGCCUUUCAGUUCAUAAAGAAAACUUACAUAUCAACAAGCCUAGCUCCUCACUAGUCCCAGUGAAUGCUUACAUCAAUCAGCUCUACAAUAUCCAGUAAAGGACUUUCCAAUUCGCCUUUGAAUAAACUGAGGUAUUGGAAACAUCUAAGAAAAUGGUUUUUAAUUCUUCCUAAUCUUCAGGGAGUUCUUCCUUAUAUUGAGCUGAUAUCUGCCCUCUGUAACUUUCAACUAAUUAUUCAAAUCUCUCAAGUGAUUAUAAUUAAUUCCAUCUUAUAAGGAAUUUUUCUCAGCUUCCAGCCUCUUGAAAAUACUCUGAUAUUUUCUCUAAUAUUCAAGUGGAAAUGUAAAUGGGUAACGUAAGAGUCUGUGGGGUUAGGAGGGUGGAGGAAAGGUAAGGGAAAGCUAAUGAGAAAUAACCAAAGCAAGAAAAAGAAUUUUAUUUUCUUCAAGUUCUUUGUACAUCCAAAGUGGAAGAUUCCUAAAAUAAAUUCCCCAUACCACAUUUUAAAAAUUAGGUUAGCAAGCUUACUUUUUAAUUUAUUUAGAAGCCAACUACUUCCAUUUAUUAUUUCUUUCCAGAAUAGAACAAUUAUCACUAAUUGUUUGUCAUUAUAAUGCCAAACUAUGUUAAUAGAUGCCUAUUUUUUUAAAGGCUAAUUGCAAUCAUGAAACCAAAUAUCUAAUUAGUUUUAGAGCUUUGGACCACAUGCAUCAAUAUUUGAAUCAUUCAGGUGUAUAUUUGCUUUCUGCUUUUUUGUCUCUUCAAAAGAAGUAUUAUAUGCAUUCUGUUUAUAAUUUCUAAAUGGUCAUUUCAAAACUGAUUAUACGAGUUUAUACAAAUCAUACUGAAAUUUGUUGCUUAAAAAAUCUUCAUUUUUCUCUAAGCUCUCAGUGUCCUUGAGCUAUAUAUAUUUUAUGGCAAUUUUUACUUAAUAGUUUGUAUGCUAGUUAUUUUUGACAAUGACUACUAAAAUGCAAGUUUCUUCAAGGGCAGAUUCACCUUAGUUCUUCUUUAUACCCCUCAAAAACCUCAGGGUUAUUCUCAAUAAGUAUUGAGUAGGUGAGUGAACUUUGGAUGUAUACUCCUUGAAAUUAUAUUUCUGGAGCUGGAAAACUUUAAAAAAAUGUAUGUCAUGAGUCUAAAGAAAUAAACAUUAUAUGGCUGAAAAAAUACUUUGUGAAAACCAAAAAUCUCAUGGAAUCAUGAACUUAUCUAUGGGACAGAUGUUAGCCCUGAGGUUGUUCUGGGCUUCUUUUCUACCCACUUCCCAUGACCAAAUCAGUUCACUAGUCAGCAGUUCUAUCCUUCCUCUCCUUCUCCUUCCAUCUAAGGAGCUAGAGCUGAACUGCUUGGCCACUGAUUGCUGACAUGCUGAGUUUUCUACAGCUGGAGUUUUCAAGAGGGCUUUGAUUUUGCUUUCCCCAGUUUUCCUUCUUCCACACUUGAAAAGUGGUAAGGGUACCAGCUUUCUGUCUAUCUCUGACUCUCUCUCUCUCUUUCACACACACACACACACACACACACACACACACACACACUUUUUUUUUUCUUCCACCCUCCUGCACAGCAGGAGACCUUGCCUUGAUCUUUGAAGGUCUACAGCAAGUGGUCUAGGCUAACUCAGUGCUGGGCAAAUGGAGCAAAAACUCUUUUCUGCUUCCUUGCCUCCAUGUCUUUCAGAGCUAGCAGAUACAGCUUUUGUUCUAUAGGAGUGAUUCUUUCUAAAUGUCAGCUCAACAGGAUGAUGGUCACUCUUGUAUAUCACUUAGGCAUGAGUUCUGUUGAAUCCCA